CCUACGGGAGGCAGCAGUGAGGAAUAUUGGUCAAUGGGCGAGAGCCUGAACCAGCCAAGUCGCGUGAGGGAUGAAUGCCCUAUGGGUUGUAAACCUCUUUUGCACGGGGGGAACAAGCUUCACGAGUAGAGUGAUGACAGUACCAUACGAAUAAGCAUCGGCUAACUCCGUGCCAGCAGCCGCGGUAAUACGGAGGUUGCGAGCGUUAUCCGGAUUUAUUGGGUUUAAAGGGUGCGUAGGCGGCAUUAAAAGUUAGUGGUAAAAUCUUGGGGCUAAACCUCGCUACGCAAUUGAUACUGUAGGGCUAGAGAACAGACGAGGCAGGCGGAAUUAGUGGUGUAGCGGUGAAAUGCAUAGAUAUAACGAAGAACACCGAUAGCGAAGGCAGCUUGCCGGACUGAGACUGACGCUGAGGCACGAGGGCGUGGGUAGCGAACAGGAUUAGAUACCCUAGUAGUC
rnacentral:rRNA from 1 species